rnacentral:rRNA from 1 species
AACGAACGCUGGCGGCAGGCCUAACACAUGCAAGUCGAGCGCGCCCUGCGGGGUGAGCGGCGGACGGGUGAGUAAAGCGUUGGAAAGUUCCCUUUUCUACGGAAUAGCCUCGUGAAACCGAGAGUAAUACCGCAUACGCCCGUUGGGGGAAAGAUUGAUCGGGAAAGGAUCGGCCCGCGUUGGUUUAGGGAGUUGGUGGGGUAAAGGCAUAACAAGAAGACGAUGCAGGGCUGGUUUGAGAGGAUGAUCAGACACACUGGGAGUGAGACACGGCCCAGACUCCUACGGGAGGGAGGAGUGGGAAAUCGUAGAAAAGGGGGGAAACCCUGGGCGAGACAUGGCGCGGGAGUGAUGAAGGUAUUAGGGGUGUAAAGCUCUUUCAGGUGAGAAGAUAAUGACGGUACCAGCAGAAGAAGCCCCGGCUAACUCCGUG